AGCGAACGCUGGCGGCAGGCCUAACACAUGCAAGUCGAACGGAUCCUUCGGGAUUAGUGGCGGACGGGUGAGUAACACGUGGGAACGUGCCCUUUGGUUCGGAACAACUCAGGGAAACUUGAGCUAACACCGGAUGUGCCCUUCGGGGGAAAGAUUUAUCGCCAUUGGAGCGGCCCGCGUCUGAUUAGCUAGUUGGUGAGGUAAAGGCUCACCAAGGCGACGAUCAGUAGCUGGUCUGAGAGGAUGAUCAGCCACAUUGGGACUGAGACACGGCCCAAACUCCUACGGGAGGCAGCAGUGGGGAAUCUUGCGCAAUGGGCGAAAGCCUGACGCAGCCACGCCGCGUGAAUGAUGAAGGUCUUAGGAUUGUAAAAUUCUUUCACCGGGGACGAUAAUGACGGUACCCGGAGAAGAAGCCCCGGCUAACUUCGUGCCAGCCGCCGCAGUAAAAC
rnacentral:rRNA from 1 species